CUUAGAAAAAACAUGCAAUAAAAAUAUUAACAUUCUUGGUAAAAAACUGAGAGCAGAAGCCACCAGGUCCAGACAAAUCACCUGACUACAACAUGAAUGAAUCAUACAGAUCAAAAUCAAUCCACAAUUGUGUCAAAAAAAAAAUCAAUCUACAAUUCAGUCCAAACAAUCUAUAACACGUGCCAAUUCAAUCAUAUUGUUACCAAACGCACUGGUACAGAUAAUGAAAUUCAUUAAACUUCAUGGUAUAGAUAGGUUGCAAAUAUAUUGUACAUACCACAGUAGUGUUCAAAGAAAAUCUGAUACAUAUCAUAAAUAGCAGUACAGAUGUCAGGAUGGAUGGUCAUAAGAUUUCAUAGAAUACACUUUAAAUUUGCAGAUAUAANNNNN
rnacentral:lncRNA from 1 species